rnacentral:lncRNA from 1 species
UCAUGCUACCUGUCUUUCCCAGCCCUUUGGUAUUUUCUUUAUUUUGGUUAGUGUAAGAAAGUGAGGAGUACAUCUCCCCAUCUUCUCAGAGAAACCUGCAUCAUAAGUUUCAAGUUUUUAAGUAAUAAUUUAAAAAUCUGCCACUAAAGUUCUAGCUCAGUGGUAGAGCACUUGUCUAGAAGGUUCAAGACCCUAGGUUGAAUCUCCAGCACUGAAAAAGUGGUCGUUUACCAUGUAGACCCACACAUGAACACUCAAAAAUCAGUUUAUGAUGAUAUUUAGUAACAGAUUAAAUCAUAUGAAGCAACCAUGAAGCUAACAGAUGAGGUAUACAUUCUAGUGUGGCAAUUUACAAGCAAGGUUUUUGAAAGAAGAGAACACAGGUGAGGAAAGAUGGAGGCCAAUGAGAACAGGUUGAGAUGAGAAAGAAGUGUAGAAAAUCUCAACACUGCCCAAACAGGGAGCUUAUUAAGCUGGUUCUCCCAUUAAUGUGGCAGUUCAUAAGAUGCAGCCAAGAGGUCAGGAAACUUUGUCACUGUGAUGUCAAAAUGACAGGCUGACAUCAUCACAUUUGGAAUCAAAGGGAAUUGAAGGAAUGUUUUCACUUGAUUGCUUUUGUAGAAUCUGCUACUUUCUGGAAGGAUUUUCAAGAGACUCCCUUCACCUGCACUCACACCCAUAAUUAUCAUUAAUAUUUUCUUUAUUAAUUAAUAUCUGCCCAUAACAUUACACAAGAUCUGAAAGAAUAAUGUUUCACAAAAGUGAUUUUGAACAUACCAUACAUUCAUAUGAAAGGUGCCAAGCAUUUCUUGGAGGAAGGCAACAUCUUCAGCAGAAAAUGUACAGAAGAAAAUUGAGCCAGCCACAAAGGAGCAUGUUCAAGGAAGUUGCAAAAUGAGAAGACAAGAGAUGAGAAAAAUCAAAGAGAGCAAGUAGUGUGACUUUUGGCUGAGAGACUCUGCCAAUUUCUCCUCAUAUGAAGAUCUAUUAUUUACUUUGCAUACUCUUGCAAUCUGUAAUAUUGCAAAACAUAAAGUAACAGGAUCUUAGUCUUAAAAGCUUUUCCUAACUGCUUUAGAAAACUCAAUAUGGCCUUGUAGCAUCUUUCUGAGACCAUAUUCCCAGCUAUCAUGAAUACAAUACCUAAGAUCAGGAAACAAGAUGUGGCAUACAUGACGUAUGAGAAUAUAAUGAAAUACAAAGCAGAAAGAUCUCAUACCUUGAAAAAGAAAAUGCAUUCAUAUAAGCACAUGACUUUAUAGUAAAAGCUGCUGCUGCUAUACAUGAGAUGAACUAUAGUGACUUUCUAUAUCAACAUCUAUUUACUAAUACAUAUUUAAUAUAAUUCUUG